rnacentral:tRNA from 1 species
AUUAAGGUGGCAGAGUCGGUAAUUGCAUAAAACUUAAGCCUUUAUAAUCAGAGGUUCAAAUCCUCUCCUUAAUA